rnacentral:lncRNA from 1 species
ACCACCAUCCUACAAUCAACUGCGGAGAACCUCAGAUACGUAGUCCCUUCAGCACCAAAGCCAGAGUUCAUUUUUACACCAACACAUGAUUCCCAUGUUCAAACUGCUGUUAUUUGCUCAAAACAGCUGGGAAUACAUCUUAGAGUCCGGAGUGGAGGCCACGACUACGAGGGUCUCUCCUAUGUGUCCGAAAUUGAAACACCUUUCAUCGUCCUAGAUCUUGCCAAACUUCGAUCAGUUAAUGUUGAUAUCCAACAGAACAGUGCAUGGAUUCAAGCUGGUGCCACCAUUGGCGAAGUUUACUACAGAAUUGCAGAGCAAAGCGCAACACAUGGCUUCCCCGCCGGUCUUUGCACGAGUCUAGGUGUGGGAGGUCAUAUAACCGGAGGUGCAUAUGGUUCCAUGAUGAGAAAAUAUGGCCUUGGGGUUGAUAAUGCUGUCGAUGCUCAAAUAGUUGAUGUAGACGGCAGAAUUCUUGACCGAGAGACCAUGGGAGAGGACCUGUUUUGGGCAAUCAGAGGAGGUGGAGGAGCAAGCUUUGGAAUUAUCCUGUGGUGGAAGAUAAAGCUGGUUCCAGUUCCAUCAACUGUGACAGUUUUUACAGUUGCCAGGACCUUGGAACAAGAUGGAACAAAGCUCCUACAUAGGUGGCAACAAGUGGCUGCUACUGAGCUUGAUGAAGAUCUUUUUAUUAGAGUUAUCAUACAACUAACAAGUGACAGCAAAAGUGGCAAGAGAACUGUCACAACUCUUUACCAAGCUCAGUUCCUCGGAGGGGUUGAAAGACUCCUCUAUGUUAUGCAAACAGGCUUCCCGGAACUGGGAUUGACCCGAAAAGAUUGUACUGAAACCAGUUGGAUCAAAUCUGUGAUGUACAUUGCAAACUAUCCUAAUGGAACUCAACCAGAGAUUCUGCUCCAAGGAAAAUCUACAACCAGGAGUUACUUCAAAGCCAAAUCAGACUUUGUCAAAGAUCCGAUCCCUGAGACCGGGCUUGAGGGACUGAGGAAAAGGUUGAUGGAAGAAACCAAUCCUGUGUUGAUUUGGACACCAUAUGGGGGAAUGAUGAGCAAGAUAUCGGAGUCGGAUACACCUUUCCCUCACAGGAAAGGAGUCCUCUUCAAGAUUCAGUACCUGACUAUAUGGCAAGCUGCAAAUCAAGACGAGGCAAAGCACAUGGACUGGAUUAGGAAGCUUUACAACUACAUGGCUCCUUAUGUCACAAUGUUUCCGAGGCAAGCAUAUGUGAACUAUAGGGACCUUGAUUUGGGGAUCAACAAGAAGAGCAAUUUAAGUUUCAUUGAAGCAAGUUCUUGGGGUUAUAGGUAUUUCAAGGACAACUUCAACAGACUGAUAAAAAUUAAGACCAAAGUGGAUCCUUAUAACUUCUUCAGGCAUGAGCAAAGCAUCACACCUCUUCCACUCACUGUAGGAAGAACAAUGAACUAGAUAUGAUGGUGGUAGCAAAGUAAAGGGCUAUGAGUUUUUUUUAUCAAAGUUAGCAUAAAACUUCAUCUGUUUGAAAAAUAGUAAUCCUGAAUCUAAAUUUACCAAGAGUAAUAACCAGCAAAUUGGAGAGUAUAGUCAGACCAAGUUUAUAUGCAGGAAUAAUGAUUGAAUAAAUGUGUCAAUGAUAUGCAGCAAUCUAUGUAGCAAUCCUGAUCACUAAUAUAAUACUAGGUACUAUUGUGUGUAUUUUAUAUUCUAGUGCUCAUUGCCCCAAGUAGUUCAAAAUGAACUCUGGAUUCUGAAAUCUCAACAAUCAUAUUCUUCCUUGAUGGAUGUAAUAUGCUCCUAAGAGUAAUCCUCAAGUCAGUGACCAAGUAAACUAAAUAUAAUUGGACACAAUCAAAGAAUAAAGUUUACAUGCAUUAGAGACUUUACUUGCUACACUUCUUGAAAUUUCAUAAUAUACAGAGGUCAAGAUAUAUCCACAAUUUCUUAAUAUAACUAGUCCUGCUCCUGUUAUAACUUUGUAAUAACAAAGACAAUUUAAUGGAGUUGAACCUCUCAUACGUACCUUCAGUCUUUCUCUUGAUAAGCCACCAAUAGGCCAACAUGAUAAGAAAAAGUGCCAGCAGAACAGGUAAAAGUAGAACAACAAGAGUUCCCCUUCUUCUAAGGAAACCUCUUGGUUUUCUGUCAUUCUCAGCUGCAAGUGAAAGCAAGUAAGAAAUUAAAAACAGAUCACCAUGACAAGGAGCAUUUACAUGCAAGCCAAAAUUUCCAGUACGGUGAUGCCUAGCAAAAUCAUAAUCUCAUUUGAGUAGUACCUGACUCAGUUCCAUCUGCUCGAACAUAGAAAUCUUUUCCCUGCUCUGCCAAUAUUAAACUGUCCAUCAAUUCCCCAUACCAUGCCAUGCAACCACCACCUCCAUCAAUUUGUAGACUUGCAUAUGCGACACAUGAACAAUUGUUCUUCUUACACUCACUUUCACCCAUCUUUGUGUCCAGCAAAGCUGAUAUUGAUGCAUAUGGAAGCUUCACAUGUUCCACCUUCACAAAUUUCUUUCCACACUUGUCAGAUUCUUCUACCUGCUUACUCACACACCCAUCUGACCAGAUCCCCUCAGACCAAUUCACUGAAGAAUUUGGUUGAUACCCUGGCAAACAUGAACACUCGGAUUGUAUAUUGUCAAGACUACAUUCACUGAAGGUGCCACAAUGUCCGUAUGGGUGACACUGAACUUUGGCGCUGCCCACAACUCUGUCCAUUGCCCCUCAACAUCAUUCCAUGUUAGGUGCUGAAGUAUGCCAUUAGUCAACCACAAGUCCUGAAAUUUCAGAGGAUUUCUUAGAAGAAUCAAUCAAAUAUGUCUCAUCUUCAUUAUUGACAAAACUGUAGUUAUAUGCAUAAGGGUGCAGAGAAUCCAUAUGCUUUUCCCAUGUCUAUUAGGUUCUGUGACCUUUUGGCAACUACCAAUAUUCCACCAUCAUACUAACAGUAACAUAACACCUGUAUGAGCAAAUUUUACAUUCAAAUAGGUUCUGAUAUUAUCAGCAUUAAUCAACACAGUUCAUCAAAAGCACCAAUCUUUUCAGUUUAAAACACUAACCCUAUUCACAAAAGCAUCAGUAACAAAACCCCAACACAUAAACAAGCCCAAUCUUUUCAAUCUCUUCUUCCUCUUGUGAAACCCAGACACAGAGUCACUUCACAAACCAAAACCCAAAGCUCCAAAAGCAUAAAGGAAGCAAAUUUCAGGGUCUAGUUUGAAGGUGGGUACCUGAGACCUUAAGAGCCCUCUUGCUGACGUAACGGCCACGCAGAGCUGCGGCCAGAAUCGCCGCGUCUUCCGCCUUGUCUGCUACCAUGAGAGAGAGAGAGAGAGAGAGAGAGAGAGAGCUCAGGUCGUUGUUUAAUGCGGUCCAACACCCACUGCAGGCACUUGGAAUGGUACGAGGCCGUAGCUGAUCAGAAUUUUUCAUAUAGCAAUUCGAUAAACCAAGUCUGGACUUAGUACGCUGGGAGACGUAAUCAAAGAGGGACCGUUCUGAUACUAACUAGAAAAGGGUCAAACGAGGAUCUGGAUCCUCUCCUAAUAAACCUUUGCUAAUAUUUCCUAAUAAGAAGAUCUAGACCGUUCAUUUUUCAUAGACGGUCAAGAUGUUAACAAGGCUAUUUCUCAUCUACUCUCUUAUUACUGUCUCGAUCAAAUUCUCAUCCCAUUCUCUCUCUCUUUCGUCCCGGAAAUCAAUCUCGCCUCUGUUCGAACCUCUUCCCAACCUCCGGCUCCGGUGUGGAGGUGUCCUCCACGCAGAAGACCCAUUUGCUCUGGGACCGAAAUCUCUCUUUGACUCUUCUGAUUACCGGUAGCUUGAAUUGCGUUACAUCAACAGUUGCCCAAAGUGGGACUGUGUUUCGUCUCCAUAAAACUUGUUUUGAAUUGCUUUUUGAAGGCACGAGCACGUUGACAAUUAUUCUGGUGAUUGAGAGUUUUGUUGUUACUUCUGUUUUCGGCAGCAUAUUUCAGUGAUAUGUGUGUUGGUGCAAUUGCGUGCCGACUUGAGAGGAAUGAAGGUGGGGUUGUCUGUACAUCAUGACAUUGAUUUGGUGUUGGGAUGUCCAGGAUGUCCAGAAAGACUCAUAAUUCUGAUAUGCAGUACAAGUUUCUUGGAUUCAAGUUUCUUUGAUCUUUGUCACUUCUCAUUUAUGUUUGAUUAGUCUAGUUGCAGACUUGCUAAAUCAUUAGAAGGCCGAGUCAUGUGAGCAUUUGUUAUGUUUCUACAGACAUGACUCUGCCUCUUUCCAUUAAAUCAUUGUACCGAGACAUGACUGUUAAUUGAAAUUUUUUGAAGUAAGUGGCACCAUGUCUGCAGCUGAAGCAUGCUUUAGUCGGAAAGUUCCUUAAACUUGAUAAAAACCAAUUUUGAUCUGUGAGCAUUAGAUAUUGAACUCUGAAUCAUAAAGUGUUCACAUGACAAAAAUCCAGAUUUGGCUACCCUAAUAUACUAAUUCAUAGAAGACAUAAUUAUGCUUUUGGAAUUCAAAAAGGUUUACAAUGGUUAGUUAGUGAUUGUAUCUCAACUGUGUGGAGUUCAGUAUCAUCUCCACUGAUGCGGAACAUAAAGCAAAAAUAUUAGUAUCUUAAAGAUCCAUAGCCCACAAAAACAAAAAUUAGAAGCUUAAUGCCAUGUACAUGACCUCAUCAAGCUAUAAUCUGGAUGUGGUUGGUCAUUGUACUUCAAGAGUUCAAGGCAUCUAGCUGAACAGCUUCUUCUGCGCUAAACUAGAGCACAAAUCAUAUACAGAGAAAUAAGAUGUCUUUUGUUGCAUUCCGUCCAAAGCCAAGACAUAAGCCUAUCAAAUAACCCACACAAAACGACCUCAUUUGGAUGGUCACCUGGUCACCCACUACUCGAACCGACCCUUCAACUCAAACCCUGCACAACUGAAGUCUCCGGCCAUCCUGUUAUGGGCUCAAAAAUCUUCCGAGAAAAGGAGUCCUCAGUCCGGCGAGCUCGCUAGCCAGAUAUAGAGGGCCCAAGCCGCCGUGGAGGACACCAGAGCCGGAGGUUGAGAAGAGGUCCGGACGGAAGCAAGAUUGAUUUCGGGGACGAGAGAGAGAGAGAGAGAGAGAGAGAGAGAGAGAGAGAGAGAGANNNNNNNNNNNNNNNNNNNNAGAGAGAGAGAGAGAGAAUGGGACGAGAAUUUGAGGGAGAGUCGAGACAGAAAUAAGAGAAUAGAUGAGAAAUAGCCUUGAGUUAAGAGUAUGAGAGAUCUUAGCCGUCUAUUGAAAAUAAACGGUCUAGAUCUUCUUAUUAGGAAGUAUUAGCAGAGGUUCAUUAUGAGAGGAUCUGGAUCCGUCAAAUGAAACCCGAGGAUCAUUAUUGGAUGGAUAUUGUUUAAACUUAAUUAUUUUUAAGACGUUAAGUUUUAAUUACAAAAAACUUCAAUAUAAUUAAAUAUGAUUUAUUUUAUAUCUCUGAUAUGAAACCUUUUCGGUUGUUCCUGAAAGAUCAUAUGCGUUAAUCUAUAGUUAGUUUUGUAGUGUUCAAUUGUCUACAAUGACAGACAGAGAAGAUUGAUUGCAAGUUGCAUAUUUCAUUGUACACUACAGCUAAAUUUUCGUGUGCACCUGUGUCGGUAUAUAUUUUGGAUGGAUGACUCCACUCAUGCAGCUAGGGCGGCUCCGGCUAGGGUACAGAAAAUCCCUCUUUGAGAUAGAUAUUCUGGAAGUUGGAAUCAUGGGAUCAUAAUCAAUAGGUUGGAAAUUUCAUUAUUAUUUCUCUUUCUUUUUGGAAUUUUUCUUUUUUUGGAAUUUAAAUUUAUUUCUCCUUCUUAAUGGUGACUGUGAAGAACAUUGAGAUUAUGACAAUCUUAUGUAAUAGUGAAGGAAUUAUGUACAAGUGAUUACUCUUUUCAACAUGUAGCUUUGAAUUGUUGUAUUUUUGAAUCUUAUCAAUGGUUUCCUUUUCCGUUUAAUGGUUUUUUUAUUGUUUGCUGCACAGAGGCUAUAGAGAAAUUGAAAUUAAAUGUCUUUUCAAAUUAAAUGUAAAUAUGUAAUUUGUUUUUUUUCUUUUAUUAAUCAAAUGAGCCACGUUUCAGCUACAAACGUGGGAUAGUUCUGAUACUUUCAGUGGUGGAGAGUCUCACGAAUACAAGGGAUACAAGGGAAUCGUGACUUUCUGGGGUAAUACCCACGACAGUAAUGCCCAUGUAUGUUCCCAUUAAAUGUUGCUGCACAGUGACAAACAGCUUUCUCCACGAAAAAAUGUGUGUAAAGGUGUCAAUGCCCGCCAAUAAGAAAUGUGGGUGCUGCCUAUAUUUUUUGUAGUGAUAUGACAAUACAGAAGGAGCUGUGUUCAAGAUGGUUUUCCUUGUUUAUUUACAGACAAUAAUAACAUUAGAUUGAGCUACAUAUAUAAUCAGCAUCAGUAUUUGAAUUUUAGUCUUCUUCAAUUUCAAUCAGUCUUGUAUAAAUCCAUAUUCAUAAGCAUACAUUAGUCAAUAAACUAGAAAACAAAUCUCAUUUUAGUUCUGAUGAAAAGCUCCAUGCACUAGAUGACAUUGACCUUCCAAUUCAUUGAACAACGUCUUACGAAAAGUCUAUAAACAGUAGAGCUUAGCUGUCGGCCAAACUGUUAGGAAAACAAACAGAAAGACCGAGGCAGAGGACAUUGACUUGUGUUCGUCGGACUUCAAAUGAAUGUAAGUUCACGCACACACAUAUAUGUAUGUAUGUAAAGUACAGAGCAUUUCACAUAUUUUAAGCAGAGGAAAUGAAUAUGAAGACCUCUCAUGCGAAGCUAUUUCCCCUACUUUUCAUCCUUCUCAACUCAGCUUGGUCCAUAGCUUCAAGCUCCAUUUCUGAAAGCUUUGUGCAAUGCCUUUCCUCCCACAUUCAGAACUCUAACUCCAGUAAUGAAAUCAUUCUCACCAGAACCAGUUCAGCUUAUCCUUCAGUGUUAGAAUCUUCCAUACAGAACCUCAGAUUCUCGAACAAUUCCACACCAAAACCAGAGACCAUCAUAACUCCUUUUGAUGAAUCUCAUGUUCAAGCAGCUGUAAUUUGCUCCAAGAAAAAUGGCCUACAAAUAAGAAGCCGAAGCGGGGGGCACGAUUACGAGGGCCUAUCCUAUGUGUCCAGAGCUCCUUUCAUCAUCAUUGAUCUGUUCAAUCUCCGUUCCAUCGAUGUUGACAUAGAGAAUGAGAGUGCUUGGGUCAAAUCAGGUGCUACUCUUGGAGAGGUGUAUUACAGCAUUGCACAGAAGAGUAAAGUCUAUGGCUUUCCAGCAGCGACUUGUCCCACCGUUGGUGUUGGGGGACAUAUCAGUGGAGGUGGAAUUGGAACCAUGUUCCGAAAAUAUGGUCUAGCAUCUGACAAUGUCAUUGAUGCCAGAAUUGUAGAUGUUAAUGGCAGAAUUCUAGAUAGAAAGUCCAUGGGAGAAGAGCUUUUUUGGGCUAUCAGAGGAGGAGGUGGAUCAAGCUUUGGAGUCAUUCUAGCAUGGAAACUUAGACUGGUUCCUGUUCCCCUUACUGUAACAGUUUGCCACAUUACAAAGACAAAAGAACAAGGCGCAACCAAACUUCUUUUGAAAUGGCAAAACAUUGCAGACAAGCUUCCUGAAGAACUUUUCAUACGUCCAGUUAUAAGAAGUGGUGACAAGACUAUUACAGUUGAAUUCGGUUCCGUGUUUCUUGGCCCGGUUGAGAAACUUUUCCAUUUGAUGCAGGAGAACUUCCCACAGUUGAGCUUAGGAAGAAGCCAUUGCACCGAGAUGAGUUGGAUUCAGUCUGUUUUAGACUUUGCUGGCUACUCGAUACACGAAUCCUUAGAAAUUUUGCUGAAGCGCCGGCAAUUCAGCAUUAUCUUCAAAGCAAAAUCAGACUUUGUGACUGAGCCCAUCUCAGAAGCUGGCUUGGAAGGCUUAUGGCAGAGGUUGGUUGAAGCAAACACAUCCUUCAUGAUACUGACACCAUAUGGAGGAAAAAUGAGUGAGAUUUCUGAUUCAGAAACUGCUUUCCCACAUCGACGAGGAAACAUAUAUGAAAUCCAGUAUAUGGUUGUUUGGGAUGAUGGCAAGGAUACUGAGAAGUAUGUUGGAUUUAUGAGAAGGUUGUAUGCAUACAUGGCACCGUAUGUUUCAAAGUCUCCUAGAGCUGCCUAUCUGAAUUAUAGAGAUCUUGAUUUGGGGAGGAACAAUAAUGGCAAUACAAGCUAUGCACAAGCAAGCAUUUGGGGUUUGAAGUACUUCAAGAACAACUUCAGGAAACUUGUUCAUGUUAAGACCUUGGUUGAUCCUGGCAACUUCUUUAGGAAUGAGCAAAGCAUCCCAGUGUUUUCAUCCGGUAGAAAGUAGAAUGUCAACCAACAAAUGGGCUUAGGUUCCAAAAUAAAGUAAUCUACAAUAAAGCGAUGGAUUGGACUUAAUUUCUCAUUGCUUUAAUUUAUUGUUCCAUCCAUAUGUAUUUACUAUUUAUUUUUAUGUGAAGAGAAAUGAGGAGGGCUGGACGGGAAUCUUUAUUUAUUUAUUUUUUUUUUUUUGAAAAAUGUGUUAAUAACUCACACGUCUUACGUCUUUAUAUGUUAGUUAGGUUUGAAACUAUGAUAUCAAAGUUGUUAGUUAAACACUUUAACCAACUAAGUCACGAGAACCUUAAGAUCAUUGUAUUGUACGCAUCUUUAUCAUGAAAUCACGGUGUAUUUGUAUUAGCAUGAUCAAGUAAAUAAUGUGUUGCAUGUAUUGUUUUUAUGACCAACUCAUAUAUAAUGUCAUGCAUAUGCAGCGAACAGAGAGACCGUGACUUGUUCAUUUUGUUGAGAUAAUGGAGAUAACUAAUCUAGAAAUUUCUAAAUAAUCAUAAAUACGUUAUUUUUAGAAUGAAACUAGCAUGAAAUAUGAAUCUAGAACUAAAGUAUGGAUUAGCAGGAUUGCAAGAUACAUUGUUUCCUUGUUUUGAUUGAUAUGAGCAGAGGAAGUUGUAUAUGCUUACAACAAAUUUCUCAUUUAAUAUCUCUUUAUCAGUAUUAUCCUUUUUUUUCUCUCAUUUAAUUUAUGAAGUUUUCAUUCAUUUCAUCAAACUUGGCAGUUUGAAAUUUGGACCUUCUCACUUAAUUAGACAUUUAUCUUACGUUUACUAAUAAACAAGACGCUAUCCGGUUGUUUUCGUUGUUGCUAAAUGCUAAACAUGUAAAGAGUUAGUAUUGCCCCCACGAAUUCAAUUUAUUUACGGAUACAUAUUGGAUGCGUAUCAAGCCGUUUACCGCCGUACCUGACAGUAUCUGAGAACAUAUUCUUAACCUACAGGUCGGCGGGUACAUUCUGGUAUGGCCGAAAAUGGACGAAGACGGCAGAAAACAGCCUGAUACGCGUCUGAUACACAUUCACAUUCUUCAUUGCAUUUUCUAUGACUUAUCCAUGUGAAACACAAUCACAAUAAAAGAAUUGAAGGGUGACUAUAUAUCGUGGAUGUGAAACUUCAAAUGCUCAAGUACUCGGAAAAAAAAAAAAAAACCCCUAAUGCGCGGGGCACUCUCUGCUACACAUACACCAAAAGAGUGUCGUUGCUCUUCUAAUCCUAAUUGAUUAUGAUCGGAGUUCAACCCAAUUUUCUUUCAUCCCAUCCCCAAGUCCUUCUGCCUCAACUUUAAUCACCAUGCCAAAUUCCAUUGACAGUGUCACGAUGAGUUUCGUCGCAUCACUCGCCCUUGCUGGCAAGGAUGUCCUUGAUGUUUCUCGCCGAUUUGGAGCGACACAACGCCGCAAUACGCAAUCCUAUUUGCUUGCCAAGCCUCUGAUUCCAAAGCGAGUUGUUCCAGCAGAUCUCCAACAGACUUUCAAGCAUAUUUGGACGCUAAAUAGGAAAUUCAAGGUUCAGGCUAGACCUGUUGGUUUGUUCCUCUUCUCGUUUGAUCUCAAGCGUGAUCGGAACCAAGUGCUAUGGGGAGGAUCAUGGUACUAUCUUCGUAUGCUUAUGAUUGUGCAAGAAUACGAUGGUUUGAUGGAUUUCGAUGAAAUUGAUAUGAAUCGACUAUUCUUCUGGGUAUUGAAUUGAGAAGAUUCCCCCCAAAAUUGGAGGUUCCGAAAACAAUUGAGGAUGUUGCUAUUGUUGCUGGUGACAACCCCUUUGUGGAUUUGUCGCUGCUCAACGCAACUGGAGAAGUUAGAGUUUGGGUUUCUAGAUCGGCCUUUCAUCUUUGAGGAGGUACUCAAACUUGUCCUUGGUAUAGUGAAAAUACUUAUGAGAAUCUGGUUGGCAUGUGUUCGGCCUGCAAAUUGUUAGUGCAUAAUGAUGGAGUUUGUAGCUCCAAGCCCUCGAUGGUACAAACAAAUAACAGAGUUGAGUCUCUAGCAAACUUGGUGAACCCAAACUUCUCACAAGGCUUGCUCAAGUUCAUAGGGACAAAAUCUGGAGAGACAAUGGCCCCAAAACCACUGCAGCUUCUUGCUAAGUCGAGUCUGAAACGUAAAUCGGUAGUCCUCAAAAAACCUUCUCUUGAUUUAAUUUCUGGUGUUUCAUAACAAGAUGGUGAAUUAGAGAUGGGGAUUAAACAAGUUGGUAAGGAAAGCAACAAGAUGCCGGUCAUCCCUGGUGAAGCUAUGAAAGAAGCAGUCACUACUACUGAUAAGGUACUUGCUCACUGUGGUUGCAACUACGCCGGUGGCAGGGGCUAUGACAACCCAAGUCAAAGCUAGUGAACAGGUUGUUCAAGAUUCUAAAAGUGAAAAUAUUUCGUUAAAGGAAUGGAUGUCAAAGACUAAUGUGAACAUGGCAGGAAAAGAAAAUUUGAAGCCUGUAAUUUUUGAAGUUGGAGAAGUUGUCAAGCGCCCUUGAUCUCCCCUGAAAGAGCUCCUUGACAAUGUUGUUGCAGCUACAGCAAGUAGUAUGAAAUCUUGUGCGAACAUUCGCUUCCUUGCAAGUGUGCUUGGCCUCAUUCAAGGCCCUAAUGACAGCCUGAUCAUGAAGUCAGCUUCGUUGAUCAAGCCAAAAAUGAAGAAGGGAUGUCCUCUCGGAUCCCUAAACAAAGUACCCAGACAGAGCCAACAGGUAACAAAACCAGAUGAUCUGAGUGUGCUUUGCCCUAACACUCCUCCAAGCCCUGACCUAAAGGGCAAAAAUGCAAUAUAAAGGGUGUUAGUGCAUUGAUAGCUUAGCAAACUAUGCGAGCUGGAUGCAGCGAGAUGAAUUCAUAGGACUUAGAGUACCGCAAUUGAGCGCCUUGGCUCUAGUUUUAUGUUUCUCUGGUAUCUUGUUUUGUUUAUAGUUUAAUCCUCUGCUAAGUCCUCUGCUAAGCUCACUUGAAUAAGUGAGCCAAUUGUCUAAUGUAAUGGUGUUUGGAUGCCAUUUUGGCCUGAGUUUAUUAAUAAAAUUCAUGGGGUUGUUGCCCUUUUCCCCUUAAAAAAAAACAUUGAAGGAAAUUGACCUAACCGGUUACAAUAAGAUUGAGACUCCUUUUGGAAAGAUUCUAUGCUAUCUAUCAAAGUUUUGAAUGAAUACUCAUCCCUAUUUACAGAACUAAUUAUGAUAUAAUUUUUGGUUCAGGCGAGCAACUACUUCUUGUCUCUUCUUCGAUAUCGUGAGUGAGGCAAUUGGUUACGGAUGGUUCAAACAAGUGUCGUCCGCCCACUUUGGGGUGUAUUUUCUUCAGAUAGGGGUUGUACAUCCCUAAGUUAAUCUUGUUAUCUUUCUUAUACAAUGUUUUCUCUUCAUCAACUUGGGGUGAUUGCUUCAGGGUAUUGGUUGUUUUGCUGAGAUUUCUGCACUUGAUCUAUCAAAGGCAGUUUAUCCUACAAAUUUACACAAUGGGAGUCUAGCAAGAGGAUUCGAUCAACAAUCAAAUUAAGACCCAUUGACUGAUUGACAUAUAUUUUUGGUGGUUCAGGAUAUUCGACAGCUUGCUCAACAAUUUGAGUCUAUAGCUUUUACGCAUAUCUAGCCAGAGACAAACUUCUUUGCUGAUUAAAUUCUGGUAUUUGGUCAUUCAUGGAUAACAUACACGAAUGGACUCCUUCUCUCUUCCGUCAUUGCUUUUAAUUUUUAUUUUCAUGGUAUAGGUUGUUUUAUGAGUUUCUAGUUGUAACUUUAUUCUUGUUUUUCUUUUUCUUUUUUUUGAAUGAAAGGAGGUUAAAUGAUUUUAUUCAAUAAGUACAAAGUCAUAUUAUACAGUGACCCGUCCUUGCAGGGCUGUCAAAAAGAGACACUGUUAAAACGUAAUACAACUCACAUAUUGAGCGAGGCUCAGGAGGGGAGUAAACUAAUAAAAUACUGAUAAUAAAUUUUUCUGCAACAUCCAUUAGAAUACUCGUUGACAACCUUCAAUCAAUAAUCCUGACAGUUCCUCGUAGGUUUUGAUCCCAUGAAAAAAAUUGGUACCGAACUAAAAAAACAUCAUGGGUCCCAAACUUUUAUUCUAAAACCAUCUAGAUCCUAAAUCUGAAUCCAAAACUUUAGAGGCCCAACUUUUUUUGCUCUACGUCCCAGACAUAGGCCCAAGUUCAAAGAAAGAACUUGACCCCGCUUCCCUCUAGGUUUCCGCCAAGCAAAAACCACAUAUGCGCCACUGCCUUUAGUGCACUGACAACGCUACCGCCAAAUACAUCGCCGCUGGAUCCAACCGGGAUUUCGUCUCCCCCACACCAAUGUUCACCGUCGCGGUUGGCCACAACAAGAGCAUCUUUUCCGUUUUGCUUCAAGAAAUUCGUCGGAAGGACCAACAUCUCUUUCCACCAAAAGCAAAACCAUUGCUGAGGAGAAUCUGAAAACCUCCUCCGCCACCAAGCAACACGUUGGACCGCCACCAAGAAAGGUGGAGCGAUACCAGAGACGUGAUGGACCCUGGAUCCCAUAUUUGAAUUAGAUCUACCUGAGAAAGCCACCGACCCACCAAGAAAGGUGGAGCGAUACCAGAGACGUGAUGGACCCUGGAUCCCAUAUUUGAAUUAGAUCUAUCUGAGAAAGCCACCGACCCACCGUCCUCUCCCAACAUCUCUGAGCAAAGAAGCGGCAACAAAGCGGCGUUAAGAGGAACAUAGAAGGUUGCAGCAGGCCAAGGCUUGCCUUGGAUAGAUUUGCGAGACCGAGAGGCUCGUCAGCCAAGAACUAGGAUCAGAAAUGACCCCGUUCAAGAGAUCCGCAUGGGCAAACACUAGGAUGGGUCGCCACCAAAGUGAGAGAGCGAGAGGUCUCAUCAGAAUUAUGGUCGAAGACGGCUGAGGUUGACGAUAAACAAACCCUAGCAGAGCGCUAGGAUCGAGAGAAGAAUAUUGAUGUUUGCUUAAUUUGUUAUUUGAUAUCCUUCUUCGACAAAAAGUGUAGUCGACGUUCUUUUUAGAGGAAAUUUUUCAAAUGGUUCCCCAAGUUAAGCUCAUUCAUCAUUUUGACAUCUCAAUCUUAAAAACUAUGAUAAUGGUACCUCAACUCUUAAACCCAACCCAACAUUAGUUCCCUUCAUGAUUGAUUGUCUUUUCAUGUUUUCUCUCCCAAAACCUUUUUCCUCCACAACAUUUAAUUUUCUCCAGAAUAAUGUUCAUUUUCCAAUCACUAUCAAAAUUUGUGGUGAGGCAUGUGUUAAAUUGGAAUUAACAGGCCAGGCAAAGUCCUCCGAUGUGUGAAGCAGUCUUUCAUGAACUGUAGCAGGAGUGCAUCAUUAGCAGAACAUAACCAUUAUUGUCAAAUGCAUCGUCUGCUAUAAAUGGAGUAUUUUCAAAAUAUUUUAUGUGUUUAAUACUUUUUGUGGAGUUGUCAUUAUCCAGUGUUAUCAUUAGAAGCAGAACAGUCAACUUGCCAUGCAUGCCAAAUAGAGAAUGCAUGUAUUUACAUGUGUUCAUCAAAGCAUGAAUAAGCCAUAAAAACGAUGAAUCCUUAACGAAUGCAAUCAAUUUAAAGUGAUUUUGCCAUCGAAACCUCCUUAUCCAGUAAUGAUUCCAAUUCUCACCAUCUCAUGUAACUUAAAUCCGAAACAAAACCACUAGACAAACCCAAUACACAAAUUUAACCCCACGACAAAAUAAAUUCUUCUCUCAUAUGCCGACAAAACAACAAACUCUAAUAAGCUCUUACCAACCUAAACCUUUCUAGUUUCUAUAAGUUAUAACACAGAUUGAAGCAAUAAAUGGUAAAAAAAAAAAAAAAAUCAAAAAGAGUUUGACUUGAAGCAAACGUCAAAAUGGGUGUGUAGUAAAACAAAAUAAGAAGCAUACUGGGGGAGACGUAAGGCUGGCAGCCAAAGACGGAGCUCGUAAUUCGAAGCACAAAGCGAGCAAAAGGAGGUUGUUCUUUAGUCAAACGCGAUUGUUCCAGAAACAAACGAAUAUACAUAUACCGUGUCUGAUUAUUACCCAACAAAAUAACACGACUCAAACCCAAUUCACAACAUAGAAUUUUGAAAAAGAAAGAAAUAAGAGAACAAGAGAUGGUGAGUAGGUACUAGUUCCAGAUUCCGACCUUGAAAGGAUUGGACUUUAAGUAAUUGCAGGGUCCGAAAUUGUCAAUCCUCCACUGGGCGAGUCUUGAGAUGGACUCUACUUUCAGUACUUCGGUUUCCGACGCGGCCAUCAUUAUUUUGGUUUUUCUGGUCUCAGAGUUCUUGCUCGGGGAACCAAAGACUCCUCAACUGACUUGGUGUUUAAGCUUGAUGACACCUGAAAAGAUCUGUGGAGGGAAAACAUGAAGAGACAAUUUUACCUAUGGACAUGAACAAAGUCCAACUUAAUUGUGUCAAUCACGGAGGGAACUAAUAUUAGGUUGGGUUUAAGUGUUGAGGUAUCAUUAUCAUAGUUUUUAAGAUUGAGAUGUUAAAAUGAUGAAUGGGCUUAACUUGGGGCACCAUUUGAAAAUUUUCCUCUUUUUUUUUAAUUUUUUUUAUUGUAUUUUAUUUCCCCAUUGGAAAACAAAACUAGAGGGAAGAGAGCGAGGUAACUACAUAUGAAUGGGCCGGCCCACUCAAGCCCAUUUUAUCAAAUUUGGAGGGAAAACCCAAACUAAAAAGCCGACGUUUGGGAAGGUGCGGAGACUCGAGACUCUCUUCUUUAUUUCUCCGAUGCUCUCCGCCCAUUCAAUCCACUCUCCGGGGGAAGUUCAGGUAAAAGCUUCAGUCUUGGUUUCUUUUUUCAUCUAUUUAAAAAUCACAAAUGAACCCAAUUUGAUUAGCAUGUAAUUCCAGUCCCAAAGUUGGUUCUUUCGCUUGUAAUUUAGGGUUUUAAUUUCAGAUUUCAGGAUCUAGAAUCUGCAUAUUUGAACUGGAUGGCCAAUGGGCAUUGAAAAUUGAACUCACUUUGCUGACUAAAGCCUGGUUUGGUGGUUUCUUCUCUUUUCAUUUUUCCUUUCUGCUGCUUUGCUAUUAUAUAAUAAUACAGACUACUAGAAUUCACAAUGUUGCUGAAAAUUUGCUGCAUAUUGCGAUAUGUAUGUUGAUGCAGGUUACCUGUUAUGUUCAAUUCAUAUUCAUUAAAAUGGUGAUUUGGUAUAAUACUUAUGGUAAGCAUUAACCCAGUUAAAAGUUAAGACCAGGCCUCUUCAGUUUUUUUUCGAGAAUUGAGUUUUAUUUAUUAUUCAUAUUAAUUUGGCCAAACAUCUCAAUCAAGGCCUUGAGAUGUCCCAAAACUAGCAAAACUUUACUCUACUCCUGAAAUAACACAUUCGAACUAAUCUCAAGACUAGCUGAAAAUUGGAUGCCAAUGCGAUUCCGUUUAUAGAGAAGUUAGGCUCUACUCAUCCCCAUGUUAUGGCUAUUCUUGCUAUCUUGGCAAAAUGGCAAAGAUAUUUUUUAUUGAAGGAAAUGAAAGGAAAAAAAAGAAGAAAAAACUCAACAGUCUUAGCUGGCUGAGUGUGUCAUUACCUUCCUAACUAAUUCCUGGUUAUGCCUUGCGCGCAAGAGGUGGGAUGCUCUGUUCGUGCCUGAAGAAGUUAUGAGGAUCAACCUUUGUUUUGAUCUUUAUCAAUCUGUAAAAGUUGUCCUUGAAAUACCUGGUACCCCAAGCACUUGCUUCAGCGAUGCUGGUGUUCUUUUUCUUGUUUAUCCCCAAAUCAAGAUCCCUGUAAUUCACAUAUGCUUGCCUUGGGGACUUUGUAACAUAAGGAGUCAUGUAGCUGUAGAGCUUCCUGAUCCAAUCUAUGUGCUUUGCCUCGUCUUCAUUUGCAGCUAGCCAUCCAGUCAAGUACUGAAUUUUGAAGAGAACUUUUCUGUGUGGGAAUGGUAUUGCUGACUCUGAAAUUUCGCUCAUCACUCCCCCAUAUGGAUUCCAAAUAAUCAGAGAACUGGUUUCUUCCAACAUCCUUUUCCAUAUCCCCUCAAGCGCAGUUUCAGGAAUCGGGUCUUUGACAAAGUCAGAUUUGGCUUUGAAGUAGCUCUUGAAUGGGGGUUUUCCUUGAAGCAAAACCUCAGGUCUAGUUCCAUUUGCGUAACCUGCUAUGUACAUCACAGAGUUGAGCCAAUUUGAUUCUGUACAAUCUUUUCUUGUCAAAUUCAGCUCAGGGAACCCUGUUUGCAUAACAUUGAGGAGCCUUUUAACACCUCCAAGGAAUUGACCUUGGAAAAGAGUUGUGAUAGUUCUCUUCCCACUUAUGCUGUCAACUACUGUUGGUUGUAUCAAAACUCUUAUAUUGAGAUGUCUAUCGAGCUUAGUAGCAGCUACUUGUUGCCAUCGGUGGAGCAGCUUUGUGGCACCUUGUUCCAAGGUCUUGGAAACAGAAAAAACUGUCACAGUUGAUGGAACAGGAACCAACUUUAUCUUCCACCACAGGAUGACUCCAAAGCUUGCUCCUCCGCCACCUCUGAUUGCCCAAAAUAGGUCUUUUCCCAUGGUCUUUCGGUCAAGAAUUCUGCCGUUGACGUCAACUAUUCGGGCAUCCAGGACGUUAUCAGCUGCAAGGCCAUAUUUCCUCAUCAUAGUACCAUAUGCACCUCCAGUUAUAUGACCUCCCACACCUAGACUCGUGUAAAGACCAGCUGGGAAGCCGUGUGUUCUGCUUUUCUCUGCAAUUCUGUAGUAAACUUCACCAAUAGUGGCUCCAGCUUGAAUCCAUGCACUAUUGGAUUGGAUAUCAACAUUAACUGAUCUCAGCUUGGAGAGGUCUACAACAAUGAAAGGUGUUUCAAUUUGGGACACAUACGAGAGACCUUCAUAAUCAUGCCCUCCACUUCGGACCCUGAGAUGUAUUCCAAGCUGUUUUGAACAGACAACAGCCUUUUGAACUUGGGAAUCAUCAGUUGGUGUGAAAAUGAACUCGGGCUUUGGCUUUGAAAGGAGCAGGUACCUGAGGUUUUGUGCAGUUGAAUUUAGGAUGGUAGUGAAUGCAGAACUGUUUGAAGUGAAAAAGGUACUAGAAAAUGGAACAGAAGCAUUAGAAUGAUAUGAGAGGCAUUGGAUAAAUCUGUUUUGUUUUGAAGAUGGUGGUUUUGCCGACGAAGAUGAUAACAAAAUGAAAAGAAACAGGGAGAAAACUGAGUAGUUUGAAAUCAUCUUGUUGCCUUGUUUCAAUGUCUUUGGGUGUUGUGGAGGACUCAGCUUAGUUUCUGUGUUUCUUUAUAGAUGCAUGAAGGUGCAUUGAAUGACACACUCGAAUAUAUUAAGGCAUUCUGAUCAAGUUAGAUUUAACCUCAGAUUCCGGAAAUUUAUCUGGAUUCAAAGGUGUGAUCAAGUGAAUUAUAUAUGAGCAUGGAAAACAACUGGUGUGGUACUGAUCUGCUGUCCAUGUGUUUGAUCUUGAUCACGAAGCUUCAAACAAAUGAAAAUGGUAGUCUUGGUCUAUGGCUUUAUGUUAAAAGUAAUUGAAUCAUGUGCUUAAUCUUUAAUGAUCUCUUUAUGGCUGGAAAAUUCUUUUGGCAUCUGAAAGAAUGAGAUGAUGUGAUGGGAAAGACGGAGCAUGUCUUGAAAAAACUUACCACCCUGAAUUCAAAACAAUCAAAAUAAUUGAAGGAAAUAAUUCCAUAAUACGCUCAAUGUCACUUACAUGCACCCCUUUCCAUCUUUGUUCUGUUCAUGCAUGAUUCCUGUACAUGCUUUGAGGUCUUCAGAUUCCACAAGAAACCCGUAACAUAGAGCGGUGGCGGUUUCUUUCCAGCAAUCUCCAACGGAACAAUAAAUCUCAGUUCAGUUUGAACAUGCUCAUAACUGAAAUCUGCAACCAAAGCACUGCAAACUCAGUGAAUGGAACAGCGAUUCAAAAUGGGCCGGCCCAUCGAAGCCCAACACAACUGGGGUAAACUUUGUAUUUUAUAACCAAAUUUAGAGGGAAAACCCAAACCAACAAAUUGGGGGUGUUCAUAUGAAUUACAGAACACAAAUUUGGAAGGCGCAGACUCUCAGGAAUCCAGAUGAAAUCAAUUUGAGGUAAAGCUUCAAUCUUGACUUCUUUUUCAUCACUUACAAUCCCAAUUGAAACUCAAUUUGAUUAAAUUGUACUUCCCACUCCAAAAUUUAAUUCUUUCACUUUGUAAUUUAGGGUUUCCAUUGACUUCAGAUUUCAGAUAUCAGAAUCCAGAAUCUGUCUAUUUGAACUGCAAUGGCCAAUGGAUAUUCAAAAUUGAAACCCUCUUUGCUGACUUAAGCAUGUGUGGUUGUUUCUUUUAUUUUUCCUUUUUCCUUUCUCCAGCUUUAUAUAAUUUGCUGCGUUUUUCUUUUCUUUUGGUACAAAAUUUGCUGCAUAUUGUGCUAUAAUUUGUCCUCAUAUUCAUAGAAAUUGUGAUUUGGUAUUCAAGUUAUCUGUUAUAUGAAAGCAUCAACCGAUCAUUACAGUUGAAUGUUUUUUUUUCAAUGUUACAUUACAAUUGAAUGCUAAGACUAAGCUUUCCUCAGUUAUUUGAGAAUUAUUUUAACAAAGUACAUACUUUGAAAACCAAUCAAGGCCUUGAGGUUUCUCAAAACUAGCAAAACUUUACUCUUGAAAUAAAUAUCCUUUGAACAAAAUUUCAAGACUAGCCGAAAACUGGAUGCUGAGGCCUUCGGUUUGGUGAGUAGUUAGUCUCUACUCACCCCAUGUUUUGGCUAUUCUUGCUAUCUUGCCAAAGUGAUUAUUAUUUAAGGAAAGAGAGAAAAAAAAACACAACAGUCUGAGCUGACUCUUACUGUGUUAUUACCAUUAUAACUAGGUUCUGGUUUUUCUUGCCUGGAGCGCAAGAGGUGGGAUGCUCUGUUCAUGCCUGAAGAAGUUUUGAGGAUCAACUUUGGUUUUAAUCUUUACCAAUCUGUUAAAGUUGCCCUUGAAAUACCUGUUACCCCAUGCACUUGCUUCAGCGAUGCUAGUGUUCUUUUUCUUGUUUAUCCCCAAAUCAAGAUCCUUGUAAUUCACGUAUGCUUGCCUUGGGGACUUUGUUACAUAAGGUGCCAUGUAGGUGUACAGCUUCCUAAUCCAAUUUAUGUGCUUUGCCUCGUUUUCAUUUGCACCUUGCCAUGUAGUCAAAUACUGAAUUUUGAAGAGAACGUUUCUAUGCGGGAAGGGUAUUGCUGACUCUGAUAUUUUGCUCAUCAUUCCCCCAUAUGGAUUCCAAAUGAUCAGAGGAGCGGUUUCUUCCAACAAUCUUUUCCAUAGCCCCUCAAGCGCAGUUUCAGGAAUAGGGUCCUUGACAAAGUCUGAUUUUGAUUUGAAGUAGUUCUUGAACGUGGGUUUCCCUUGAAGCAAAACCUCAGGCCGAGUUCCAGUUGCAUAACCUGCUAUGUACAUCACAGAGUUGAGCCAGCUUGUUUGUGUACAAUCUUUUCUUGUCAAAUUCAGUUCGGGGAACCCAGUUUGCAUAACAUUGAGGAGCCUUUUAACACCUCCUAGGAAUUGACCUUGGUAAAGAGUUGUGACAGUUCUCUUGCCACUUUUGCUGUCAAGUACUGUUGGUUGUAUCAAAACUCUUAUAUUGAGAUCUUUAUCGAGCUUAGUUGCAGCUACUUGUUGCCAUAUGUGAAGCAGCUUUGUGGCACCUUGUUCCAAGGUCUUGGCAACUGUAAAAACUGUCACAGUUGAUGGAACAGGAACCAACUUUAUCUUCCACCACAGGAUGACUCCAAAGCUUGCUCCUCCACCACCUCGGAUUGCCCAAAACAGGUCUUCUCCCAUGGUCUUUCGGUUAAGAAUUCUGCCGUUGACAUCAACUAUUCUGGCAUCCAGGACGUUAUCAGCUGCAAGGCCAUAUUUCCUCAUCAUAGUACCAUAUGCACCUCCAGUUAUAUGGCCUCCCACUCCUAAGCUCGUGCAAAGACCUGCUGGAAAGCCAUGGUUUCUGCUUUUCUGUGCAAUUCUGUAGUAAACUUCACCUAUAGUUGCUCCAGCUUGAAUCCAUGCACUAUUGGCUCGGAUAUCAACAUUAACUGACCGAAGCUUGGCAAGGUCUACGAUAAUGAAAGGUGUUUCAAUUUGGGACACAUAUGAGAGACCUUCGUAAUCAUGCCCUCCGCUUCGGACCCUGAGAUGUAUCCCAAGCUGUUUUGAACAAAUUACAGCAUAUUGAACUUGGGAGUCAUGCGUUGGUGUGAAAAUGAACUCUGGCUUUGGUUUUGAUGGGACCAAGUACCUGAGGUUUUGUGCUGUUGAAUUUAGGACGGUAGUGAAUGCUGAACUGUCUGGAGUGAAAAAGGUACUAGAGAAUGGAAUAGAAGCUUUAGAAUGAUAUGAGAGGCAUUGGAGAAAACUAUUUUGUUUUGAAGAUGGUGGUAGUGCCAAUGAAGAUGAUAACAAGAUGAAAAGAAACAGGGAGAAAACUGAAGAGUUUGAAUUCAUCUUGUUGCCUUGUUUCAGUGGCUUUGGGUGUUGUUGAGGAAUCAGCUUAGUGUAUGUGUGGGUUCUUUAUAGAAGCAUGAAUGUGCAUUAGUGUUCACUUGAUGAGCUAAUGCACAUGUCAUAUGGUGUUGGGAUCACAUAGCCUAAAUGGUCUCAAUUUUAUGAGUUUUGUGGAAUAUUGACUUCAACCCCCAAAUAUUCUUAGUAGAGUUCCCCGCCUACCAUCACUGAGAUAGUUCACAGCACCACCAAUACGGCAGAGACCUGGUGGGAAGCUGAGACCAUAUGCUGCAAAAAUGUGGUGAGGCUUUUAAUCUAUGGUGUUAGUAAACCUGAAGUUUUGUAAAGAGGACCAAACAUAUAUGAAGUGAAGGGUCGCUGUAUAGCAAUUACGGAACUUCUAGAAAUGAACAAGGUCUGCUGCAGAGGAAAUUGAGCAAAGAGAAAAUACUUCUUAGGUUAGUCUCUCGUGCACUAUCAUUGCUUCUGUUUAGCUUAUGUUUGUUGCCAACUUUUUCAAUAGGAUGUAUUGAAGCAAUUGAAACCGGAAACUACUAUAGUAUCGUUAUGUGAACUGGGCAUGAAUUUUCUUUGAUUGAAUAGUUUAGCACGUUGAUGAAACGAAAGAAAUAGAAGUGUAAACUUUCUUUUGACCUGUAGUAGUAUAAUUUAGUUAUGAUUCCAUUAACAAUAACUUUCACUAUGUAAAAUUGGUCUAAGCAAUGAUCAUUUUCUUUUUGACUUGGGUGACUCUCUCCCUAAACAGAGAUUUUUUGUCAGAAACUCAGAGUUGAGUUUAUAUCAUUAUUAUCAAUCCACCCAUAAAAUUUCUAGCUCCUGAGAAUCUAUGCCCUUUGUUCAUAUAAGAAUGUUUAGGUUACUGUGACUAGUGCGUCUGGCCCAAAAAUCUCAUUCAAAUCAUGGGUGUUGAAGCAUGGGUAAUGACUAAUGAGUAAAAAUGAGAAUUUGUGUUUCAAAGUCAUGUUAUUGGAGAUAUCUAAUUGCCCCCACUAUUUUGGAGACAAAUAUGGAUCUGUAAAUUUACUUAAAAGAGUACUUUGGAACUUAAGCACAAUGCUUCUGGAAGAACAAAACCUUAAUGUUUCACCAACGAGGUGCCUUGUUCAAGUUUAAGGUAAACUGUACACUAAACUCAUGGGCAUAAGUUUGGUCCUCUGUAAUAUAACUAACAUGAAUAUGCACCCUCAUUCAUCCACAGCUUAAGUGGUUUCUUUAUGCAAUAAAUUUGGUUUAUUCAAUUUGUUUUUUCAUCUUUCUAAUUAUUGCAACAGGGACUAUGACUUGCAGGUGCCACAUGCAGGUUCAAGUUUGCUACCUGGAAAACACUUGAAAGAGAUAUGUCUUCAAUUGCUUUUCCGUGUGUAGGAGUAGGUAUUUGUUUGGUUUUGCUUGAUUUGUUAACUACAGGGACUUGAACAAAGUUAACCUAAUCCGUUCACAAUGUAAGGGAAAAACAAAUACAUACAAUUAAUUUACAUAUUACAUUAUCUCCUAAAAGCUAAACAAUCCCAUUGUUCCAGCUCUUUCCUAUAACAAUCCAUUAUUGCAGGUCCCAUGUAAAUUGGAGUACAUCACUAUUUCUACAACAAUUGAAUGUUGAUACCCAGAGACUUAUUUGACAAUUCUGCUCCAGUAUAUAGAAUCAGGCAAACAUUUUCUUAAACAAAACAUACUAACGAAUAACCCAUCAGAUUCUUACCACGCUUCAAACGGCAUAAAUAUGUAGCUGUGGCUUUUCUAUGAUCACCUUGCAGUUGUGGAUGAUGUUCGUAGAGGGAGUGGAAGAGGUGGGAUGCUCUGUUCAUGCCUGAAGAAGUUAUCGGGAUCGACUUUGGUCUUGAUCUUGAUCAGUUUGUUGAAGUUGUCCUUGAAAUACCUGUUACCCCAAGCACUUGCUUCAAUGAAGCUUGUGUUGCUCUUCUUGUUAACCCCCAAAUCAAGAUCCCUGUAGUUCACAUAUGCUUGCCUUGGGAACAUUGUAACAUAAGGAGCCAUGUAAUUGUACAGCUUCCUAAUCCAGUCCAUGUGCUCUGCUUCAUCUUCAGUUCCAUUUUGCCAUGUAGUCAGGUACUGAAUCUUGAAGAGCACUCCUUUUCUGUGUGGGAAAGGUAUCUCCGACUCCGAAAUCUUGCUCAUCAUUCCUCCAUAUGGGUUGAAUAUCAUUAAAGGAGAAGCUUGUUCGUACAACCUUUUCCAUAUCCCCUCAAGCGCAGAUUCUGGUAUUGGGUCUUUGACAAAAUCUGACUUGGCUUUGAAGUAGUUCUUGAAAGUGGAUUUUCCUUGAAGUAAAACCUCAGGUGGAGUGUUACUUGGGUAACCUGCUAUGUACAUUACAGAUUUCAGCCAACUUGUUUGUGUGCAAUCUUUCCUUGUCAGACCAAGUUCCGGGAAGCUUGUUCCCAUAACAUCAAGGAGUCUAUCAACACCUCCAAGAAACUGAGCUUGGUAGAUAGUCAUGAUAGUUUUGUUGCCACUUUUGGCGUCGAAGACCGUUGGUUGUAUGAUAACUCUAAUGAAGAGAUCUUCGUCAAGCUCAGUAGCAGCUACUUGUUGAUAUCUAUGAAGGAGCUUCGUGGCGCCUUGCUCAAGGGUCUUGACAACAGAAAAAACUGUCACGGUUGAUGGAACAGGAACAAGCUUGAUCUUCCACCAGAGAAUGACACCAAAACUAGCUCCACCACCUCCUCUGAUUGCCCAAAACAGAUCCUCUCCCAUCGAUUCUCGAUUGUGAAUCCUGCCACUAGCAUCAACAAUAUGGGCAUCGACGACAUUGUCAGCACCAAGGCCAUACUUCCUCAUCAUGGUACCGUAUGCACCUCCAGUAAUGUGCCCACCAACACCUAGACUUGUGCAAAGUCCGGCAGGGUAGCCAUGUGUUUUACUUUUCUCUGCAAUCCUGUAGUAGACUUCACCAAUGGAGGCACCGGCUUGCACCCAAGCGCUGUUGUCUUCGAUGUCAAUGUUGACUGAUCGAAGCUUGGCAAGGUCUACAAUGAUGAAAGGUGUUUCUGUUUGGGAGACAUAAGAGAGUGCUUCAUAGUCAUGGCCUCCACUUCGGACUCUCAGAUGGAUUCCAAGCUCUUUUGCGCAAAUGACAGCAGCUUGGACAUGAGAGUCGAGCAUUGGAGUGAAAAUGAACUCAGGUUUUGGCACUGAAGGGGUCAAAUAACGGAGGUUUUGUGCAGUGGACUGUAGGGUAGGAAGGAAUGUGGAAUUGUUUGGGGUGAUGAAGGCCUUAGAGAAUGGUAUCAAAAUCUCCGUGUUAUCCGAGAGGCAUUGGCUGAAACUAUCUAGGGUUGAAGUUUUGGGAUGUGCCCAUGAAGCCGAUGAUAACAGAAGGAAAAGAAAGAGGGAAAAUAUUGAAGGGUUUGGAAGCAUCAUUGUGUUGCUUGGUUUGUUUAAGGUAUGAGGUUGUGUUGAAGAAGUGGCUUGAUGUUUGCUGCUUUAUAGAAGCAUGAAGAUGGUGUCUCAGUGACACCAACGAGAGUCUGAUGAGGUAAUGGAGACGUCAGUUGAGAUCAUUUGGGUCACUGGUCACUAUUUCAAAUUUUCAAUUGCAUCUGUUCUUGAAUGUGACUCGUCUAAUGUGAGCUACUCUGUACGGCUCUACCUGUACCGUGAUUUAAGUAUGGAUACAGAUUAUAGAGUGUAUUAUAAAGGAUUAAUGGUUAGAAAUUGGUGAUUAUAUACAAUCUUCCACAUUUGAUGAUGAGUCGGAUUUCCAACUGAUGGAAUGUGGUAUGUUUCGAGUGGUAGACUUCAUUCUGAUUGUAUCGAAUCUUCUAGAUAAAUAAUUCUGAUUAUUUAGAGCCGAAUCUACAAAUUUGAGACUAUAUUGUUCCUGGAUCCGGAAAUUAACUAACUUUUCGUGUCGGCAGUUGCAACAUAGGGCACCUACAAUUGCAAAGGAAGAGACCAACAACAUCCAAUGCCUAAUACCCCAGAAUUGAUAAGCUUCUACUCUUAAUAACAAAAGGACAUUGAUUGCCAACUUUGUGUAAAUAGGGACCAAUUUAUUAUCCCAAAAAAAGGGACCAAUUCAGCAUUCAAUACUGUUCUUCAUGUACGUACUUUUAGAAUCAAUGUCCCAACGACCCAAGAUUUUCUCCUUGUGUUCUUGCUUUGAAUUCAAGUUCACGGGUAUUUUGCAAAAUGUUACUUAAUUUUGUUUAAGCAAAACAAUAAACGAAAUGGAAACUUGGAGUAGAAACAAUUCUGUUUGAGUGAAAAGGAGUGUGUGCUCGGAUUCAUUUGCUUGAUAACAUUUAGAUCGAAUGCUUUGCGGUUUAUGAUCUAUGCUCAAUAGUUUAGGGUCUAGAAAUUGAAACCUCUUCAUUCUUUUAUCUACCCUCGUUCUAAUAUAGAAUUAACCUGCAUAUUUGCAUGAACUCGACCUAACAAAAUUGCUUUUGCUACUUCACGUACGUGCAAGAAAUUAAUCGUAAUCAUUGUUAUUAGAAUAUAAUCUGAUUGUUUAAUAACUAAUUCUGUAGAUUCUGGAUUGGGGAAGAUCGAUUUUAUCGCAUUCAAACUAAAGAAAACACUACGCAAAGAAGAAAAAAAAAAUCAGACAACCAUAUCUUGCUUGUAAAGUUGCAAACAGCACCAUUAUCAUCACCCAAAUUUAACCGCAAUAUCUAAAGCGAAAGGAAGCAUAUGAAAAGAUGGGAAAGGAAACAAAAAUAGUGCAGCAAAGCGCGCAUCAAAAUGUGAUACACAUUCACAGUUCUAUAUAUGUUCAAUUGACAAUUGCGUGUCACUACCAUGUUUCAUCUUGAAAAAGCUUAUAAUCAUUGUCAAUCCACAAAUCAUUUUUGUGGCCCUUAAAUUAGUUGCUUUCUCUUUAUGUGAAAGCCAGUUUUUGCUUCCAGAUAUUCUUCAUUUCCUUAUCACAAAACUCACACUUCCUUUAAAUUAGGUCUGAUGAUUCAAAAGGAAAAGAUCGUCUUGAACAUUAUAUAAUGAGAAAGGGUGGUCUGAAAGGUCUGCAAGGAAGAAAGUGUGUAUAUGUCAAUGGUGGAAUGUCUCAAUAUGUAUGGGAAUUUUACUAGUGCUAUUACACGAAGUACUUCAUUACCUCAAUAAUGGAACUCUGCUUUUACAUCCUGUUGUUACUGAGUUGAUAGUCAUUGUUAGAGUGCACAAAGGAGAAUGGAAGUGUAUCUAUAUGCUUACACGGCAAAAAUAGCCGCUCUCUCUCUCUCUCUAUCCUAAAAUUCAUUGGCUAUGACUUGAAGCUAGAGACACCUCUUUCCUUUCACUCCUAAGGUUGCUUAAUUGGUAGUUUUCUCAAGUAUGUAGCUUCUCUUGCUUGAUGAUCCAUCUAAUAUCAAAAAUGCGUAUAAAGUAGGAAUAUCACUUUUAUCGAAGGAGUUCUCUUUAACAAAGAAAUACCAAAUUUCAUCAUGAAUGUGAGAUAUAAUUAACAUAAUAUAUUAUUCAUCUAUGAUUUUCUGGUUCACAUAAAUCAAAACAUUUUGUUACCAGAAAAAGUUUGUAUGUGAUAGCUUCAGUUAACUACUAGCUAGCUAUCAAUAAAGAUAAAUUCAAUGUACGUGUUGAGUCCAUAAAAAUUUGUAACUCAAGGGGUCGUCCAUUGUUUUGUUCUAAAAAUUAGAUAAUCUAACUAGGCAUAUUCUCGUGCAUCAGAAUUCAAACACUCAUUUCGGAUUAUAUCUCUCAAGGUAAGGUAAAGCUUCUACAAUUGACAUUGCUAAAAGAGUAACAAGGUGUUUGCAUUAGUUUCCUCCAUUAUCUCAAGUAAAUUAGAUAGCAAAUAUAGCUAUUAGAAUAAGAAUCCAUAUAUUAUAUAUUUGGUUCUUUUCGGUUUAAUUUAACAAGUUAUACAUAAAUGAAGGGGAUGACUUGAAAUUGCAUGAUUUGAAUCAUGAAAUAUAUACCAAGAUGCCAAAACAUGAUACAUUAGGUGCAUGCCCCCUCAUUUUUCACCAAACAUUUCAUUUUUCACAUGAACAUACAAUUACAAUGUCUUUUUGUUAGAACUAAAAUUUCAUUAUUAGGGUGAAACCUAUGAAGAAAGAACAUCAUUAAGCCACAGAGGACUUUUACAUAUUCAAGGUCAGAAAUCAAAAGCUCAUGUUUGAAUGUGAUGCCGGAUCGAUGACAUACAAUUCAAUUUCAAGUUUUCAACUUAAUCCCAGAGAAUGUUUGACUGGAAAACUUAUACUAAUCUAGCUGCGCACUACUACAUCGAUCAUACAAAUUAAGAGCUGAGAGCUUUAUUAAUUCUGCCGCUUAAUCAGCUCCAUCAUCAAUCUUUCUGAAGAUCGAUGCUUCUCUUUUCAAACGCUGAUUGUGCUCUAUAAUAUACAAGUUACAUACUGAAGGGUCCAAAUUGAGAGGAAAUUAAGCUUUAUUUCUUUUAAGCCACAAUCUGCGUAAUACAUUUCACCCUCGAAUGUCAAAUCAUGCACCAACGAAGAUUGAGUACCCAGCAACUUUGAAAUGCAUGCUUUGCAUUAUUCUACCAAUUGUCAAAUAUUUGCAACUUUGAUUAAUUACCACUCGGAAAUUCUCUAACUAGGCCUUGAUUUGGUUCCAUAUGUUCAAUAUCGAACUCCAAUAUAUAUACAUGGUCGCUAGUUCGAAUGACACAGUCGAAUAUAUAUGUUAAGGCAUGCCGACAGAUUAGGUUAUAAUUAACCUCAGAUUCAGGAAGUUAAUUUGGAAUCAGUACUGGUGUACGUCAUUAGGUGAAUUAUGAGUAUGGACAAGAACUACUUUCUAAAUUAACUGGUGGUUUGGUGUACUGCUCGGCUUUCCAACCCAAAUAAUUAUCAAAAUCAAAGUACGUAGUUGCUUUUGAUCUUCUGUUCAUGAUGUGUGUGUGAUCCGGCCAUCACGAAACUUCAAAUUAAGGAAAUGGGAGUCGUUUGUGUUAAAGUACUUGAUUACAUUCAAUGGUUAAGUACAUGAUUAGUAAUCUGUAAUGAUCUCAUGCAGACUCAUAAUGACAUGAUUUCAUGCACUUUCUUAUUCCAUCUGUCUGUGCUUUAAGAAGAAAGGAACAAUAUGUGAUCAUCACUCUUUAUUAAUAAUCGUUUCGUUAUCUAAUUAAUCUAAAUCAUCAAGGAUAUGAUCUUUAAAAUUACUAACUUUUCCUUUAGUUAGAACGUAGAACAUCGACUGCUAUAUAUAUAAUUAUUGGGUAGAGGCGAGAUUUGUGGAUUUGUUAGCUAUGAUUGAGGUGAUGGGACAAAGCUAGUGAGCCUUACUAGCUUGUUGAUUCAUUGUCUCCCUCGUCACAUUGUUCUUAGAGAUUGUUAAGUUGUCUAUUGGUGCUUUGUUCAUUUCUAAAUUAAUAUGAACGAGUCUCCAAAAAUUAUUCUGGAAACCUAAAGUUCAAACAAAUGCAGCUCCAAUUAAGCACACAGAUUUCUGAAAACCCUAGAGUUCAAACAAUGCGGCUCUAAUUAAGCAAACCGAUAUUGCAUGUUUCUACAACCAUGAAAAGUUAUGUUUUUUUCAUCAAGACUUUGUUAAGAUAUAAAUCACACAUCAGAAAUAUAUGACCUUGUUUGUGAGUUUAUAAAUGUUCGAGCCAUUUCAUCCAUAGCCAAUUAGUUUUAUAUAUGAACCUCAGACUACUUCAUCAUGGUAUCAGAACGGGCUACGUACCCACGUCCACGUGUGAAUGCGUAACGGCCACACAGACUCUAUGUCCACCUAAAAGUUAUCUAUGUGUUAGGUUUAAAAAUUCGCCACACGUGCAGGAUCGUGUUAAGAUAUAAAUCCUACAUUAGAAAUAUAAAACAUUGUCUCCGGAUUACUACUCUAUCAAACUUGUGGAACUAUUAUCGACACAAAUUUUUUUAGCAAAAAUAUCACACUCCACCCAUAAUCACGAUACUUUCAUUGAUAUAAGAACACUAGCUAGUGCAAUUUUAGAUGUGUCAUGUAAUUAGGACCACCAGUUUGAGUGACACACAUUCGAAUAGUACUGAGUGGACGGUUAAUUAUUGGAAACACAGUUCCAACUGAGAUAUGUGAAUAAGGCACGCACGCCAAGAUAGAAGAAAUCUAUCUGCAGGGUGGUGUCAUAUUAGCUCGAACACAUAUUUGAGUAGAGACAACAACUAGUUUCUAGAUUUCUGGUAUAGUUUGGUAUACUGCUCAAGUACUCAGCUUUCGAACCCAAUUAUUUUAACAAAUCAGUUGUUUUUUUUUUUUUUUGAUGCUGUACGUGUUCGUCGGAGGAUGGGGAUCCACUACUCACUUUCAAGUAAAUGAAAUAGCAUUCUAGCUAGCUAGCUAAGUUUGUUGUCAUCUGUUUGUUCUGAUGAUAAGUCUAUCUUUAAGUUUAGAACAGGGACAGUCGCAAGAUAAGUAAAUUAAUGGAAACCUUUUUAUAUAUGAUCUCAGGGAGAAGAUCGGUAUUGAUGAUUUCAUGCAUACGUACUCAUCCGAAGAGAAAACACUGCCUUAAGAACUAGUGGAUAACUGGAUAUAUAGAGUAGAGAGGCACCCUUGUGAAUCUUCGUUAGACAAUAAAUCUGAUGAGGAUUUACAAAAAAAACAUCUUUAAAUAGCUCAUUUCCAUUUCAUAUAGUGGUAUAGUAUUUUUUUUUAUAAAUAUGAAAUGAAGUGAUACUAACUUAACGUGUUUAUCUUAAAAAUCAAUCAACUCUCAAACAUUAUAUUUAGUUCUGUGUAACAUCAAAUAUAUCAUGUUAGGUAAUUAAUUAGAGCAAAUUUAUUUAAGUCACCAAGUUUUUGUAUAUAUAGGUUUGUUCUUUUUAAACAAAUUACCUGUUCAAAAAAAAAAACAAAUUAAUUAUGGUCAAUGUCCACUGCCCAUAUUUUUGAGACCAAAUGUUCUUUAGGGCUCCAAAAGAGCUAGAAUUAAAGCCCAACCCGUCUAUCUAGUUGGCCCAAACCUAUUUUGCUGACAUUGUUUAUCUUUGACAACGAACAUUUCGUUCUCUCUCUAGAGGCUUCAUGGAAAUAUUUGGGAGGAUGUGUGGAUAGCAUCUUGUUUAUUAGUAAAAGUAAGAUAAAUGUCUAAUUCAGUGAGGAGGUCCAAAUGUCAAACUGCCAAUUUUGAUGAAAUGAGUGAAAACUUCAUAAAUUAAAUGAGAAAAAAAAGAGAGAAUAAUACUGAUAAAGAGAUAUUAAAUGAGAAAUUUGCUGUAAGCAUAUACAACUUCCUCUGCUCAUAUAAUCAUAACAAGGAAACAAUGUAUCUUGCAAUCGUACUAAUCCAUACUUUAGUUCUAGGUUCACAUUUCAUGCUAGUUUCAUUCUAAAAAUAACGUAUUUAUGAUUAUUUAGAAAUUUCUAGAUCAGUUAUCUCCGUUAUCUCAACAAAAUGAACAAGUCACAGUCUCUGUUCGCUACAUAUGCAUGACAUUAUAUACGAUUUGGUCAUAAAAAUCAUGCAACACAUUAUUUACUUGAUCAUGCUAAUGCAAAUACACCGUGGUUUCAUGAUAAAGAUGCAUACAAUACAAUGAUUUUAAGGUUCUGAUAGCUUAGUUAGUUAAGAUAUUUAACUAACAACUUUGAUGUUAUGAUUUCAAACCUCACAAACAUACAUAAGACGUGUGAGUUAUUAACAAAUUUUUCAAAAAGAAAAAAAAAUAAAGGUUCCCGUCCAGCCCUCUUCAGCUCUCUUCACAUAAAAAUAAAUAGUAAAUACAUAUUGAUGGAACAAUAAAUUAAAGCAAUGAGAAAUUAAGUGCAAUCCAUCUCUUUAUUGUAGAUUACUUUAUUUUGGAACCUAAGCCCAUUUGUUGGUUGACAUUCUACUUUCUACCGGAUGAAAACACUGGGAUGCUUUGCUCAUUCCUAAAGAAGUUGCCGGGAUCAACCAAGGUCUUAACAUGAACAAGUUUCCUGAAGUUGUUCUUGAAGUACUUCAAACCCCAAAUGCUUGCUUGUGCAUAGCUUGUAUUGCCAUUAUUGUUCCUCCCCAAAUCAAGAUCCCUAUAAUUCAGAUAGGCAGCUCUAGGAGACUUUGAAACAUACGGUGCCAUGUAUGCAUACAACCUUCUCAUAAAUCCAAUAUACUUNNNNNNNNNNNNNNNNNNNNAUAGGCCCUCGUAAUCGUGCCCCCCGCUUCGGCUUCUUAUUUGUAGGCCAUUUUUCUCGGAGCAAAUUACAGCUGCUUGAACAUGAGAUUCAUCAAAAGGAGUUAUGAUGGCCUCUGGUUUUGGUGUGGAAUUGUUCGAGAAUCUGAGGUUCUGUAUGGAAGAAUCUAACACUGAAGGAUAAGCUGAACUGGUUCUGGUGAGAAUGAUUUCAUUACUGGAGUUAGAGUUCUGAAUGUGGGAGGAAAGGCAUUGCACAAAGCUUUCAGAAAUGGAGCUUGAAGCUAUGGACCAAGCUGAGUUGAGAAGGAUGAAAAGUAGGGGAAAUAGCUUUGCAUGAGAGGUCUCCAUAUUCAUUUCCUCAGCAUAAAAGAUGUGAAAUGCUCUGAGCUUUACUAACAUACAUAUAUGUGUGUAAGUCGUCUGUUGAUGUGAAACCGUAGGUUCCGCUUUCUAGCACUUUUUUAGUAUUAGUGGGGUAAGUCAUCUAUUGUUGUUUUGUCCAUUUCUAAAUUGAUAUGAACGAGUCUCCAACAAUAAUUCUGAAAACCUAAAAUUCAAGCAAUGCAGCUCCAAUUAAGCAGAUCGAUAUCUGAAAACCUAUAGUUCAAACAAUGCAGCUCUAAUUAAGCACAUCGAUUUCUGAAAACCUAAUUAGUUAAGCACGCCGAUAUUGCAUGUUUCUACAACCUUGAAAUGUUUUUUUUUUUUUCAUCAAAACUUUGUUGGAUAUAAAUUUCAUAUUGGAAAUAUAUAACUUUCCCUAUGGGGUUAUAAGAGUUUAUGUCACUUCAUCUACUGUCAAUUGGUUUUGAAUAUGAACCUCAUACUACUUCAUCACAAUAUUAGAGCAGAUUACGCACGUCUAUGUGUGAAUGCGUAACGGCCACACAGACUUCACGUCCACGUGUGCGGAGGCGUGUUAAGAUACAAAUCCUAUAUUAGAAAUAUGAGACCUUGUUUACGGGUUACUACUUUAUCAAACUUGUGGAACUAUGAUCGACACACGAUUUUUUUGGCAAAAAUAUCACACUCCACCCAUAAUCACGAUAAUUUCAUCAUAUAAGAACACUAGCUAGUGCAAUUUUAGAGGUGUGUCAUGUAAUUAGGGCCACCAGUUUGAGUGACACACAUUCGAAUAAUACUGAGUGGAUGGUUAAUCAUUGGAAACCACAGGUCCAACUGAGAUAUGUAAAUAAGGCAUGCACGCCAAGUUAGAAGAAAUCUAUCUGCAGGGUGGUGUCAUAUUAGCUCGAACACAUAUUUGGAGUAGAGACAACAACUAGUUUCUAGAUUUCUGGUAUAGUUUGGUACUAGUCUUUGUCCUACGCGUUGCUGCGAUUGAUUUUCGUGUUUAGUUAGUACUGGUGAUGAUUAAAAAUAGGAUCAUAUAUCUAGAAAUUACGCACACUAUUUGCUGCAGGUGGGUUUCAGAAUGUACGUAAAAACAUGAACCCUGUAAUGAAAUGGCGUCGCAUUGUUCAAUCUCAUAUUCACUAUGUAUUGCAUAUAUUACUGAAACCAACAAUUUUACUUUUAAAAAAAAUAUGGAAUCAAUAACAAAGCCCUUUCUUAUGUCAUUUUUCGGUGAAACAAUUAUACAUUUCUAUGGUUCAUGAUAUUGGUCCUUGGCUUGGAGUUGAUUGACCGUGCCAAUUGAUUUGGGGAUUCAACACACUUGUCUGGAAGAGCAUACACCCAAUAGUGUUCUUUGCACAAUUGCUCCCAAAUUUGUAAUCUCUGCGUUGCAUAACUUUCUGCUAGUCAAGCUAAUGAUAAACAACAACAACACUACAACAUGAAUGCUAAAAAUAAUAGAGAAGCAUUGCAUGAUUAUCGCAAGACCUAAAUAUUAGAAUUAUGACCACAUGACAUUGAAUAAUACCACACUAAGAGAGAAAAUGGUAAAAUGGUAUGAUCUGUAUAUAAUUACAUAUACAAUAUUAAGAGCAGAAUCAUAUAAGAAUGAAUAAAAAAAAAAUUAUGACCCAUUCUUCUUCAAGUAGACAUCCAUAUCUAUUUGUCUGCCACCAAACAAUGAAUUUUGUUUGUUUGUUUAUUACACCACAAAUAUUAAACAUGACAAAUUUUUCUAUCAUUUUGCUGUUAGUAAUGGUAUGUGAAGGAUUUAGAUUGUAUAUUUAUCUGCAAUAGCUUAAUGUUCUUUUUGCGAAAUUGUUCAAAAACGUUAACUUUAGUACAGAACUGAUAUGUAUGUAGAGAUCAUUACAACCAUGCAUGUUAACUAUUAAAUUGAAUCUCAUAACCUAUAUGCAUUAAAGAUUAAGCUAUGUGUUUGUAUAAAUUUAAAAGUUUCUAAACACAAUAUGCAAAUAAGACUCCAUGUUUAAGCUGAUGGUUUCAAUACCCACAAAUAGAAGAACUGAUUUCAAUACCCAAAAAAAGAAGAAGAAAGAAAUCAAUGUUCAUCAAUUUACAGAUGAAUAAGAACCUUUAUAGGGAGGCUAUAUAUUCUUCUUCUCAUAAUAAAAGCUGAUUUCCCCAGGCUAUGUUAUACUAAAUCCCAAAUCAGCUUAUCACCAAUUGCUUUGAACCAUGAAAUAUAAAGUCUUCCAACUCUGGACGAAGGCGUAAACUUAGAGAAGGAAUCGAUGACACGAUCAUUUCAAAACCACAAAAACAAAAUCAGACUGAGAGCAGAGAGCAUGCAGAAAAAGAAUCAGUAGAAACAAUGGACAAAACUCAAAAAAGAAAAGAACGCGCAACAUGGCCAUACUGUUUGAGCCCAGUGGGUAUUUUUGGUCCAAGACUCAGGGUACGUUUUGGAUAACAUUUGGGCCUUUACCUGUGGCCCUUUUUUUAAUGCGAAGCCCACGAAGGGUGGCGAAGUCUGGCAACACGCGAGUUGGAAUUGUGUAAGGAUUCUGAUACCUCGCGGGAUUCGAUGUCCUCGCGGGAUCCUUUGUUCUAGUUCGUGUAGGAUUCUACAGUGCAUGGCGAGGUAGAGUUGGAAAUGGACUGUAGUACCCGCGGGAUAGGAUCGCUUAGUGCUCGAGUUCGCGUACGACGCUACAGUGAUAUGAUGCGGGGCGGUGAGCGAGACCUAGGCGAAGUCUGUUUUGGACACGUGUUGCAUGGAUCGCGCGGCUCGCGAGCUGGUCGUUUCCUGGUGGAAUUCUAAUUGCUGAGUCCGAAUGGAUUUGUGAUUAGGUCUCUGCGAAUUGUUUGCGGAUCGCUAUAUAAGGGAGCUUGACACAACGAACAAGACACACAAUCAAUCAUACAAAACAACUGCAAAUCUUCGAGCAUCCUCGAAACCCUAAGUUCUAAAUGCACCUCGCCUUAGAUCUCAGAGCCCGUCUGGACUCGCCUCUCUUUCCCAAUUGUUGCUUUGCUCGCUUCGAACAGUGAGUAUCGAUUCACAGGUGACUAGAUAGUUUGCUCGUAAUUCCUCGCCCGCGAGGUGACACUGGAGCUCUACUUCGCCUGAUUAGAAGUCAAGAACGCGCACCAUUCUCGUUCCGCGUCCGCGCGGUGGCAUGCCCUGCAAACCCUAAUUUACUUUUGGUAGCACAAGUUACCUUUCUACCCCUGCUGAGGAUCGUGGCCAAAACACAUACAACAACAACAACCAAGAACAUCUGGCAAGUGGUGGCGGCAAUAUAAAGUAAAUAAAAAUAAAAUAGGGGCAAAACCGUAAAAACACACGGUCUCUAGGGCAGUAUAUAGUAAAUACUGCUCAAGUGCUCAGCUUUUGAACCCAAUUAUUUUAACAAUUCAUUUUUUUUUUAAUAUUUUUUUUUUAUGCUGUUCGUGUUCGUCGGAGGAUGAGGAUCCACUACUCACUUUCAAGUAAAUGAAAUAGCAUUCUACCUAGCUAGCUAGGUUUGUUGUCAUCUGUUGUUCGCUCUGAUGAUAAGUCUAUCUUUUAUGUUUAAAACAGUCGCAAGAUAAGUACUUUAAUGGAAGCCUUUUUAUAUAUGAUCUCAGGAAGAAGAUAGGUAUUGAUGAUUUCAUGCAUACAUACUCAUUCGAAGAGAAAACACUGCCUUAAGAACUAGUGGAUAUCUGGAUAUAUAGAGUAGAGAGGCACCCUUGUGAAUCUUCGCGAUCGUUAGACAAUAAAUAUGAUGAGGAUUUACAAAAAAAACAUCUUUAAAUAGCUCAUUUCCCUUUCAUAUAGUGGUAUAGUCUUUUCUUCAUAAAUAUGAAAUGAGGUGAUACAAACUUGACGUGAUUAUCUUAAAAAUCAAUUUAACUCUCAAAUAUUAUAUUUAGUUCUGUGUAAUACAUCAAAUAUAUCAUGAGAAAUUGUUAGGUAAUUUAUAAUUGGAGCAAAUUUAUUUAAAGUCACCAAGUUUUUGCAUAUAUAGGUUUGUUCUUUUUAAACAAAUUAAUUAGGAUCAAUGUCCACUAACCAUUUUUUUGAGACAUCAAAUGUUCUUUAGGGCUCCAAAAGAGCUAGAAUUAAAGCCCAACCUGUCUAUCUCGUUGACCCAAUCCCAUUUUGCUGACAUUGUUCAUCUUUGACAACGAACAUUUCGUUCUCUCUCUAGAGACUUCAUGGAAAUAUUAGGGAGGAGGUGUGGAUAGCAUCUUGUUUAUUAGUAAAAGUAAGAUAAAUGUCUAAUUAAGUAAGGAGGUUCAAGUGUCAAACUACCAAUUUUGACGAAAUGAAUGAAAACUUCAUAAAUUAAAUGAGAAAAUAAAAUUACUGAUAAAGAUUAAAGAGAUAUUAAAUGAGAAAUUUGCUGUAAACAUAUAUAACUACUUCGGAUCAUAUCAAUCAUAACAAGGCAACAAUGUAUCAAGAUGGUGCAAUCGUACUAAUCCAUACUUUAGUUCUUGAUUCAUAUUUCAUGCUAGUUUCAUUCUAAAAAUAACGUAUUUAUGAUUAUUUAGAAAUUUCUAGAUUAGUUAUCUUCAUUAUCUCAACAAAAUGAAUAAGUCACGGUGUAUGCUGCAUAUGACAUUAUAUAUGAGUUGAUCAUAAAAACAAUACAUGCAACACAUUAUUUCCUUGAUCAUGUUAAUGCAAAUACACAUGAUAAAGAUGCAUAUGUACAAUAUACAAUGAUAGGUUCCGUUACUUAGUUGGUUAAGAUGUUUAAUUAACAACUUUGAUGUCAUGAGUUUAAAACCCACUAACAUAUGUAUGGGGUAUGAGUUAUUAACAAAAAUUAAAAAAAGAAAAUCAAGGUUCCCGUCCAGCCCUCCUCAGCUCUCUUCACAUAAAAAUAAAUAGUAAAUACAUAUAGUUGGAACAAUAAAUUAAAGCAACGAGAUCUUUGCCCAAAUGACAAGUUGAUUCACUUUCAGGCCUUCAAAACUUGAGAAUGGCAACUCUAGGUUUCAUUAUUAUUAGAAUUAAAUUCAGUUUACCCCCUUGUGGUUUGGGGGUGACUUCAUGUUAGUCCCUACACUUUUAUUUUCAUCAGUUUACCCCUUGAACUCUUCAAUUUCUGUCUGCCGUGUCCAAAUUCUCAUAUUCCGUUUGAAUUGACUUUUAAUUAUCAACAGUUAAGGUCCGAUUUGGACAUAUAAGGUCUGAUUUGCCUAAAUUCUAGAUAAUGACCUCACAGUUAAGGUUAAAAUUAUCAGCAGUUAACGUCCGAUUUAGACAGAAUAUAGGACAUUUGGUCACGCUUAAGGAAAGUUCUAAAGUUUGAGGGGUAAACUGAUGAAAUUGAAAGUAUAAGGAUUAACAUGAAGUUACUCUCAAACCUCAUGGGGUAAACUGAAUUUAAUUCUUAUUAUUAAUUUUGAAUGAGAAAUUAAGUCCAAUACAUCUCUUUAUUGUUUGUUACUUUAUUUUGGAACCUAAGCCCAUUUGUUGGUUGACAUUCUACUUUCUAUCUGAUGAAAACACUGGGAUGCUUUGCUCAUUCCUAAAGAAGUUGCCAGGAUCAACCAAGGUCUUAACAUGAACAAGUUUCCUGAAGUUGUUCUUGAAGUACUUCAAACCCCAGAUGCUUGCUUGUGCAUAGCUUGUAUUGCCAUUAUUGUUCCUCCCCAAAUCAAGAUCCCUAUAAUUCAGAUAGGCAGCUCUAGGAGACUUUGAAACAUACGGUGCCAUGUAUGCAUACAACCUUCUCAUAAAUCCAACAUACUUCUCAGUAUCCUUUCCAUCAUCCCAAACAACCAUAUACUGGAUUUCAUAUAUGUUUCCUCGUCGAUGUGGGAAAGCAGUUUCUGAAUCGGCAAUCUCACUCAUUUUUCCUCCAUAUGGUGUCAAUAUCAUGAAGGAUGUGUUUGCUUCAACCAACCUCUGCCAUAAGCCUUCCAAGCCAGCUUCUGAGAUUGGCUCAGUCACAUAGUCUGAUUUUGCUUUGAAGAUAAUGCUGAAUUGCCGGCGCUUCAGCAAAAUCUCUAAGGAUUCGUGUAUCGAGUAGCCAGCAAAGUCUAAAACAGACUGAAUCCAACUCAUCUCGGUGCAAUGGCUUCUUCCUAAACUCAACUCUGGGAAGUUGUCCUGCAUCAAAUGGAAAAGUUUCUCAACCGGGCCAAGAAACAAGGAACCGAAUUCAACUAUAAUAGUCUUGUCACCACUUCUUAUAACUAGACGUAUGAAAAGUUCUUCAGGAAGCUUGUCUGCAAUGUUUUGCCAUUUCAAAAGAAGUUUGGUUGCGUCUUGUUCUUUUGUCUUUGUAAUGUGGCAAACUGUUACAGCAGGGGGAACAGGAACCAGUCUAAGUUUCCAUGCUAGAAUGACUCCAAAGCUUGAUCCACCUCCUCCUCUGAUAGCCCAAAAGAGCUCUUCUCCCAUGGACUUUCUAUCUAGAAUUCUGCCAUUAACAUCUACAAUUCUGGCAUCAAUGACAUUGUCAGAUGCUAGACCAUAUUUUCGGAAUAUGGUUCCAAUUCCACCUCCACUGAUAUCGUCCCCCAACACCAACGGUGGGACAAAUCCCUGCUGGAAAGCCAUAGACUUUACUCUUCUGUGCAAUGCUGUAAUACACCUCUCCAAGAGUAGCACCUGAUUUGACCCAAGCACUCUCAUUCUCUAUGUCAACAUCGAUGGAACGAAGAUUGAACAGAUCAAUGAUGAUGAAAGGAGCUCUGGACACAUAAGAUAGGCCCUCGUAAUCGUGCCCCCCGCUUCGUGUUCUUAUUUGUAAUCCAUUUUUCUUGGAGCAAAUUACAGCUGCUUGAACAUGAGAUUCAUCAAAAGGAGUUAUGAUGGCCUCUGGUUUUGGUGUGGAAUUGUUCGAGAAUCUGAGGUUCUGUAUGGAAGAAUCUAACACUGAAGGAUAAGCUGAACUGGUUCUGGUGAGAAUGAUUUCAUUACUGGAGUUAGAGUUCUGAAUGUGGGAGGAAAGGCAUUGAACAAAGCUUUCAGAAAUGGAGCUUGAAGCUAUGGACCAAGCUGAGUUGAGAAGGAUGAAAAGUAGGGGAAAUAGCUUUGCAUGAGAGGUCUCCAUAUUCAUUUCCUCAGCAUAAAAGAUGUGAAAUGCUCUGAGCUUUACAUACAUACAUAUAUGUGUGCGUGAACUUACAUUCAUUUGAAGUCCAAUGAAGACAAGUCAAUGCCGUAUGCUUCUGUCUUUCUCUUUGUUUUCCUAUCAGUUUGAGGAAAAUUCCACAAGUGACUUGUCAAUAAUUUACAAUACGUAAGGCAAUAAAUAAAAGACGGACAGCUAAACUCUACUUUUCGUAAGACGUUGUUCAAUGAAUUGAAAUGUCAAUUCUCUCAUCUAUGUUAUCUAGUGCAUGGAGGUUUUCAUCAGAAUUCAAAUGAGAUUUGUUUUCUAGUAUAUUGACUAAUGUAUGCUUAUGAAUAUGGAUAUAUACAAUACUGAAUGAAAUUGAAGAAGACUAACAUUCAAAUACUGAUGCUGAUUAUGUAGCUCAAUCUAAUGUUAUAUAUUAUUGUCCGUAAAUAAACAAGAAAACCAUCUAGAACACAGCUGCUUCUGUAUUGUCAUAUGGUACGUCAAGCUUAUUUGUUGGUUAAGGCAGCCAUGGCCAGAUUAUAUCGUCUGCCUCUUCUGCACAUUGGUGGAGAAAAAUGCCUGGAAGAACAGUAAACAUAUGAAAUCGUAUUCUACUUUUGGCCUAUUUAUUGUUUUCUUCUCUCGGCCAAAGCUGAUUAAUUUAUUUUUUAGUCUUAUUUUCCCCUAGUUGUACUUGGGAACACAGGGAUGCUUUGUUCAUUUCUAAAGAAGUUAGAAGGAAUCAAGGAUCAACCAGGAUCUUAACAUAAACAAGUCUCCUAAAAUUGUUUUUGAAAUACUUCAAACCCCAAAUGCUUACUUUUGCAUGCGUAGCUUGUAUUGCCAUCAUUGAUGUUCCUUCUCACGUCAAGAUCCUGUUAUUCAAAUGGACACCUCUUGAGGGCUAAGAAACAUAUUGGUGUCAUGUAUGCAUAUAAACUACGAAGCUGAAGAACAAUGGCAAACUAAAAGGAAAGAAGAUCCUUGAAUGACAUCGGCUCUGGGGAUGACAUUGUAUUGGAUAUAUCAGUAAAUAACUCAUUCCUGCACAAUGGCUUCUGCAAUGUUCAGUUUGUCAAAUACUACAAACUGCUGCAUUCUGAGAGAGUGAUCUGCUUACUUGUUUUAGUAUCUUGUUCUAGGUAAAGCGGGGAAUCAAGGCUUAUGUUGAUAUUGCUAACAAUUCAUUUUCAACUAUAAAUCUGUCCACUGCACAGGAAUAUUCUUUCAUUAUAUUUCCAACCACCACGCCAGAACCAACAUUUAUUUGUAUAUAUCAUUCGAACAGACAUAAUAUGAGCACGUUUGUUACACCACGGGAUGGGAGUCAUGGGACGGGACACACGGUGUUAUAAUAAGAAUAAGAAUUAAAUUCAGUUUACCCCAUGAGGUUUGAGAGUAACUUCAUGUUAAUCCCUAUACUUUCAAUUUCAUCAGUUUACCCCUCAAAUUUUUGAAUUUCCCUCAACCGUGACCAAUGUCUCAUCUUCUGUCCAAAUCAGACGUUAAUUGCUGACGUGGACCCAAUCUCAUGAGUUAAAUUAUGUUUGUACCCGAAGCUUAGAAAAUUUUCAACUUAGUUAGGGAUAAAAAGGAAUGAUUUUUUAAUUUUUUUUUCACUAGUUUUUUUGUUAAAUGACAAUUUUAACCUUAACAAUGGGGCUCGUAUCUAGAAUUAACGAUCAAUUCAAACAAAAUAUAAGAAUUUGGUCACGACAGACAAAAAUUAAAGAGUUCAGGGGGUAAACGGAUGAAAUUAAAAGUGUAGGGAUUAACAUAAAGUUACCCUCAAACCAUAAGAGGGUAAACUGAAUUUAAUUCUAAGAAUAAACCCAUGUUUGGCACAAGGACUGGGUUUAAUGUGCAUACAGAGUCCCUGAUACCACUCCACACCGUCUUCCAUAGCGGUCCCAAAAUUGGUGGAUUCUGCUUGUCUGCUUGGGUAAGCAUUUGCUUGGAUUUGCUUGGAUUCACCGAUUGGUCACACGUCAUUUACGUACAAUCUAAUGGACAAUAAUCAAGAAGUCCAAAACACAAAUCUUACACCACACAUAGCGUAUCUCUCUUCCUGCUGAAGAGAUUGAGAUGGGCAUGGUAUUUGACUAUUUGGCGGUGGUUCGGCGAAUGUUGUAUGAGACUUGAAGUAAUGAGAGACUAGUAUCCGGCGAGAGGUGAGCGUCGCCGGAAGCUUGAGUUAUGACAUUGAAGGCCCAGAAGAAGCAGAUUGGACUGCAAACUAGGCAACCGCGAAUAAAGGAGGACUGGGUUGUUGAUCGAAGGGGAGAUGUGAGUAUCAGGAGAUGAUUAUUGCGAUACUGAAUGGCUGGGUUGCAUAAUGGGGAUCUGAUUUGGGUUUAAUUGAAAUUGGGUGGCCAUUGCUUCGUAUCGAAUCGGACCCGAAAGCUAAAAACCGGAUGACGAUGGUUUUGAUUAUGAUAAUAAUCGUUUACGUAUCUUACAUCCUCAUGGAGAUGCAAGGUAGUUCAUACAUACAAUUGAUGUCAUAUAUCUGAGUUUAUGAGGAUAUGAUCAACAGAGCAAGUGGUUGCAUCUGGAACCAGAAAAGAGAAAGAAAAAAGAGCAAGAGGAAGAGGAUGGAGUUGCCAAAGGCUGAUCUGGUGUGGCAGGGUAACUUUUGUGUUUUGGUCCUCUUUAAUUCGUGUCCAUUGGAUUGCUCAGAGAUGACGUGUCAUCCUGUGAGUGAUGUCCAAGUAGAUCCAAGCAAAUACUUGUCUAAGCAGAUAAGCCGAAUCCAAAAUUGGUGGGUUCGUGGAAACCCUUUGUGUUUUGACGCUGAGUGCAUCUUUAGUAAACUUUUUAUUUUGAUUUUUUAGCUAUUUUAGAGAGCGUGUUUAGUUUUUCUGGAUGUUUUAGGAGCUCCAGCAUAAUAGUCAAACUUGAGCUAUAUUUAGCUAGCGAGAUAAUUUAAAUGAGACUAAUUAUAAUUUAUUACAUUCUUUUAAGAUAUUUUAGGUGAUAUAUAAAUACAUUUAAACUAUUUAAUCUUUAUUUGAAGAAUAAUAUUAAUGUAAUGCUAGAUAAAAUAGAAAACAUUGAUACAUACACAUUUCUAAAGUGACUAGUCAAAAUAAAUUUGACAAAAAUUUAAUUCAAUUAUGGCUAGCAUUGCUAAAGAUGCUCUGAAAACUUAUUUCUCUUCUUCUCCUCGCCUCGGCCUCAUUGAUCUCUCUCAUUCUUCUUUAAAUUUCUUCUCUAAUCGAAUCCUUAUCUUCUCUCAAAUUGGGUUUUUGCAGAUCGUGACUCCAUCUGAGAUUGGAUUUUCGUGAAUUGGGACUCCAUUUCAGAUUGGAGAUUUGCAAAUUGUGACUCCAUCUCAGAUUGGGAAUUCGCAAUCUCGACUCCAUCUCUGAUUUGCUAAGAAUUAUGUUUGAUUUGGUGUAUGGGUGGCUUGAAAUGGUAAGAAUUGAGAUCAUUAUCAUGUUUUUGCUUUUCUGUUUCUUUUUCUUUUCUUUUCUUUUCUUUUUUGGCCUUGUUUGGUUGGCAGGAAACCAUGAUAUGGGAAAUAAAUUAAUUUGGUUUUCCAUUUCAAGAGGUUGAUUGGUUGUACAUAGAGACAAGAAAGGAAACAAAAAAAGAGAUGGAAAUUGACUUCCUCAUAAAACCUGAAUUCAAUUACUUUGUCAAGAGGUGGUAUUCCAAUUCCAUUCCCAUUGUCAAAGCCACAAUUACGAGAAAAUUUUAAGUGCUACGAGAGGACCACAUGGCAGUCUGAUGUGGUCCUACAUUCUAAUCAAAUUUAGAUAUGUGGAUUUUUUACAACUAAAAUUUUAACUAAUAUUUUCUAUUUUUUGUGAAAUGACAUUCAUAGGUAUUUAGCAAGUUCAACCUGGGGUUUAGGGUAUAGGGUUUAGGGUUAGGGUUUAAGGGUUUAGGGAUUAGGGUUUAGUAUUUAAAAAACAACAUAAAACCCAAAAUAGUCUUUGACAAAAUAGCUGAAAUAAUUUUUCAUGAAGAAAAUGCACAUGUCUAAAUUUAAUUGGAAUGUAGAACCACGUCAGACUGUCACAUAGUCCUCCCGUAACAUUGAAAAAUUUCUCCACAAUUACAUAAAUUAUCCUCUAAUAAAUUUUAAUGUUGUGCGUAUUUAGAAAUUAUAAAGGGACAUUAUUGAAAAAUAAAACUUUAUAUUUCAUUAUAAUGACUUACCAAAUAUUACAAUAGGAAUUAAAAUACUUGAUUUCAUCAUUUAAUUUCCAAUAUGUACCAAACAUCCAUAUGGAAAUACCAAAACAUAUUCUAUUCCAUAUCUGUUUUGGAAAGGAAAAUACAUUUAUGUCUCAUUUUUACUUUCUUGCUAACCAAACGGGGCAAAUGUAUCUGUUUAAGGAAAGUUUUGUUCAACAUUAUGAUGUGGUUAGGUAUUUGUUUUUUUAGAUAGAUGUUGAAUGUUGUUAAUUGUUGAUCAUCAGUUUGUUGUAGAAAUUUUUUUCUUUCUUCUGCAUACUUCUUUCUUCUGCAUACUGAAUUAGUCCAAAGCUUUAAAAUAUUACCAAACGUGAGUCAGGCAUCUUAUGGAAAUAAGUUAGGCUUGAGGAAAGCUGGACUCUUGUAGAAGUUAAGCAUGUCUAAGAAAGUCAUGUGUAACAAACGUGCCCUAUAUGAGUUGAUCAUAGAAACAAUACAUCCAACACAUUAUUUACUUGAUCAUUGAAUGCAAAUACACCAUGAUUGAUAAAGGUUUCCCUCAAGCCCUCAGCUCUCUUCACAUAUUGCCAAAUUGAUUCACUUUUUCAAAACUUGAGAAUGGCAACACUGGGUUUCAUUAUUACUAGCCUUUUACCCGUGCAUAUUUGCACGGAAUGACGAUCACGAACACCUAAAAAUAAUCGUGAACAGUUAAAUAAGUUUAACAUAUUAUACAGUUAUACGGCCUACUAACUGAUAGUUUUUUUUUUUUGAAUAACGAGAGCUUGAAUGGCAGACCUCACGCCAUAACCAUUAAUAAAACCUCAGAAUACAAGGGGGGACAUUGUGCCUAAACCCUAUACUAUAACAACCUAAAAUAAUAUAGGUAUGUCUACAAAUUCUAUGCAUUCUAACAAACACCAUUUAACAAAGAAUGCAUUAUUGAUUACUCUAUUUGCUUUAUAAUUUUGACGACAAACUGGAAAAAUACUGCUAAAAAAGAGUCAUAAGUUAUCAUGUCUAUCAGCUUUCUAGCUAUGAUGCCACUAAAAAUUAUCAGUAAUCCUAAAUUUCCUCAUGCCACUAGAUGGUUGCGACAAUUUGACAAAAUAAAGAACUCACCGCCUCAUUACGGCAAACAUGGCACGAUGCGUGCGCUUACCAGAACAUAGCCCACCAGUAUCUAAAAUAACCAGACAAAAACCAAAAAGAGCAACCUACUUGUGACUUAUAAGAAACUGAUGACUUAUUUCAGCUGCUAACCAAACGAAACUAGGAAACUAAAAAACUUGACCAAAAUAAUAAUAAAAACCCAAAUCCAGGCCAAAUCCAGGCCUUGAAGCCCACUGUCGAAUAGAAGCCCACUAGCCCACAAAUUCUGGCCCAAAGCAGCAACUGCACCCCUUUCUCUUUCCCGCCGCCGUGAAGAAGCCGGCGCCGUCCUUGUCCGAUUCCCACCACUCCUCCUGUCGCCCUCCACCUUAUCUCGUGUCCAGAUUGACCCCCACACCAUGUCCACCACAAACCAACUCUCCCCCCGCCGAACUCCGAUCAAGACCACGUACACAUCCACUCCACCUAGGUAGAUCCAAACCCCAAAUAGAAAUUAGAUCGCCGCCAGCAAUCCUCCAUCGACGACUGCUGGACACCGUCCCUCUCCUACCCAGAGUCGCGACCACCCCGAUCUCCCACCACUGAACCGUCACCAUCUCAUACGCCGCUGCCGACUUCAGCCAAAAGAGCCGUCUGGAACCUCCACCCGAUCGCAGCCUCAGCACGCUAGACUCACCCACACAACACACAUCCCAUCCGACCACCCAAAGCCAACGCUGAAGAGGCUGGAGGCCAUCCCCAAAGCCCUGGAGCAGCCGGACAGGCAAAGGAAUGGCCGGCGGCGCGAUCAAACCCGGACAGGCGAGGGUAUUGAGAGAGAGAGAGUUUUUAUUUUUUUUUAUGAUUAUCUAUUUAUUUAAUCAUUUUAAUUUUAUUUGUAAACUUAUUAUUUUAAUUUGUUUCACGAUUAGUUCUCAUUUUAGAUGAUGAGAUGUGUUAAUAAUAACACAAAAAAUGUGUGUUAAUAACACUAGCCUUAAUUAUAAUAACUCUUAUUUUUGUUUGUAUUAAUUGAUUUAUUAAAGAUGAUAAUAAAAGUUCACAAUUUGGUAAACGUUUUAGGAGAGCCUGAUUUUAUAAUAAAGAUUAACAUUGAUUUUAUAGUAAAGAUUAACAUUGAA